rnacentral:lncRNA from 1 species
AUAUUCACCGUUGCGAGAUUUUUAAAAUCGACCUAUAGAGACAAUAAAUCAAAUAACAUUAUAAUAUCAUAUUUAAGUGAGCAAGAACAACAAUUUUUCCUUUUUAUUUGCCUAUUGGUAUCCCUGAUGGUCCACAUGAAUGUCCCACUACGCGUGAACCAAUAUCCAACAUUGUCAACUAACCAAUCAUUCCCAUACCCCGUCAUGUAUGAGCACAAAAAAUACCAUCCCUCAAUACUCUAUCCAGCAUGAGAGUGAAUCGGGCCGUCCCCAUGCCUCAUCUGGUAUGAGCGCCAAAAAUAACAUUUCUCGAUACCCUAUCCGGUACGAGACAACGUUCAUGGUAGGGUUCUCUAUGUACCCAGUCUGUUCAUUAUCUCCCAAGAUAUCCAGUAAGACAACUAUUCAUUAAUUCACAUAACCAAGCAAUUUUUUAUUUGCAUAUUA